AUUGAACGCUGGCGGCAGGCCUAACACAUGCAAGUCGAACGGUAACAGGAAGCAGCUUGCUGCUCGCUGACGAGUGGCGGACGGGUGAGUAAUGUCUGGGAAACUGCCUGAUGGAGGGGGAUAACUACUGGAAACGGUAGCUAAUACCGCAUAACGUCGCAAGACCAAAGAGGGGGACCUUCGGGCCUCUUGCCAUCAGAUGUGCCCAGAUGGGAUUAGCUAGUUGGUGGGGUAACGGCUCACCAAGGCGACGAUCCCUAGCUGGUCUGAGAGGAUGACCAGCCACACUGGAACUGAGACACGGUCCAGACUCCUACGGGAGGCAGCAGUGGGGAAUAUUGCACAAUGGGCGCAAGCCUGAUGCAGCCAUGCCGCGUGUAAUGAAGAAGGCCUUCGGGUUGUAAAGUACUUUCAGCGGGGAGGAAGGUGUUGUGGUUAAUAACCGCAGCAAUUGACGUUACCCGCAGAAGAAGCACCGGCUAACUCCGUGCCAGCCGCAGC
rnacentral:rRNA from 1 species